AUUGAACGCUGGCGGCAGGCCUAACACAUGCAAGUCGAAUGGUAACAGGAAACAGCUUGCUGUUUCGCUGACGAGUGGCGGACGGGUGAGAAAUGUCUGGGAAACUGCCUGAUGGAGGGGGAUAACUACUGGAAACGGUAGCUAAUACGGCAUAACGUCGCAAGACCAAAGAGGGGGACCUUCGGGCCGCUUGCCAUCAGAUGUGCCCAGAUGGGAUUAGCUAGUAGGUGGGGUAACGGCUCACCUAGGCGACGAUCCCUAGCUGGUCUGAGAGGAUGACCAGCCACACUGGAACUGAGACACGGUCCAGACUCCUACGGGAGGCAGCAGUGGGGAAUAUUGCACAAUGGGCGCAAGCCUGAUGCAGCCAUGCCGCGUGUAUGAAGAAGGCCUUCGGGUUGUAAAGUACUUUCAGCGGGGAGGAAGGGAGUAAAGUUAAUACCUUUGCUCAUUGACGUUACCCGCAGAAGAAGCACCGGCUAACUCCGUG
rnacentral:rRNA from 1 species